GGAGAGUUCGCAUAGUGGCCGAGUGCGCUCGCUUGGAAAGCGGGUAUACCUUAAUCGGUAUCGAGGGUUCGAAUCCCUCACUCUCCGCCA
rnacentral:tRNA from 1 species